UACAGAGGUCUCAAGCGUUUGUUCGGAUUCAUUGGGCGUAAAGGGUGCGUAGGCGGCGCGGUAAGUCGGGGUGUGAAAUCUUGGAGCUUAACUCCGAAACUGCAUUCGAUACUGCCGUGCUUGAGGACUGGGAGAGGAGACUGGAAUUUACGGUGUAGCGGUGAAAUGCGUAGAUAUCGUAAGGAAGACCAGUGGCGAAGGCGGGUCUCGUGGA
rnacentral:rRNA from 1 species